rnacentral:rRNA from 1 species
AUGGGAGCGUUUUCGCGAGCUCUGCCUCCUUCGCUUCGGGUCGCCGAUACGCGGGAGCCGGCUGGCGGAGCUAGGCAGCCUCCCCUUCACCUCCACGGUGCAGGACUUCGCCGAUCGCUUCCAGGCCCUAGCGUGCCACGCGCCCGGCGUGACGGCUCGUCAGCGGGCCGGGCUCUUCGUCGAUGGUCUGCCGGAUCAUAUCCGCGUGGACGUGGAGCUUCGAGGACCCCAGGACCUCCAGACGGCCAUGUACUACGCCCGCGCCUUCGAGCGCCACGCGCAGGCCUUGUAGCAGGCGUCACCGUCUCGGGGCGCACGACAGCCAACCAGGCCGCCCCCACACCACAUGUGCCGGGCCGUCCGCCCUCGGCCGCUCCAGCGACUACCACUCCGGCCGCAACGCGGCCCUUUCGCUGGCUCACCCCGGCCGAGCAGCUCGAGCGCCGUCGCCAGGGGCUUUGCUAUAACUGCGACGAGCCCUACGUGCCGGGCCACGUAUGCCUGCGCCUCUUCUACUUGGAGGCAGCCGACUACGUCGAGGAGGACACAACCGUCAACGGGCUCGGCGACUUGCCCGCCCCAGUUGCUACGAAGGUCGCACCGGCGCCUGCUCCAGUGACAACUCUCGUGGUCUCCCUCCAUGCGCUUGCGGGCAUCCGAGACGAGCGGACUAUGCUUUUGCCGGUGAUGAUCAACGGCGAGCGCCUGGUGGCCCUUCUAGAUAUGGGCUCCACACAUAACUUCCUGCCCGAGGCGACCAUGCGCUGCUUAGCGCUCCAGCCGACGGGCGGGGAGCAACUCCGGGUCACCGUGGCUAGCGGCGACCGCCUCCGGUGCCAUGGGCUGGCGCGGAACGUGCCCAUCACCAUCGGCGACGAGCACUUCACCAUCACGUGCGCCGGCAUCGACUUGGGCUGCUUCGACUUCAUCCUCGGCGUCGACUUCUUGAGGACCCUCGGUCCCAUCCUCUGGGACUUCGACGCCAUGACGAUGACCUUCUGGCGCCUGGGUCACCGCGUCCGGUGGGAGGGCGUGGGUGGCGCCUCACCAGCGACGCCGCAACUGUAG